AAAAAAAGCAUCCUCAUAUAAUUAAAGUUAAUAGAUAAAUUUUGCUUCAUUUUGGAAUUGUAAUCUAUCUAUCAUGGUCACUCAACCUAUAUUUCAAAGAUUUAAAGACAAAGAACUAGGUUAUCAAAUUAUUUUGAACAGAGAGUUACUGAACUUGAUCCUGAAUCUCCAUAUUAUUGAUCUAAGAAACCUUGUACCAAACUGCAGCUUAAACAUUUAUUUGACUGAAACAUACUCGAGAAACACAAACCGCCAGACAAGCUUACAACACAUUCAUAAUGCGAUUUGCUUUGCUUCUGUUCUAUUUGGUUGAUGGUGGUGAAUCUGGGUUCCUUUGCUUUGGUUUAAGAAAUGGAUCCUGCAAAUUCCAAAUAUAUUGCACGAUGUUAGAAUGUGUAUGGUGGUACCCUGUCAUGAAAUGAGCUCUGGUUGGAACAACUAGCAGUUUAUGAAAUAAUCCAGCUAAAGUAAUUAGUUCGAGAAAAACAAGUAUAGCAGGUAGGCAUAUUUCCCACCGCACUUCCACAGUUAAGCAGCAAAGAAACUCAACUAAUUUCUUUAGUGGUUAACAAAUACGAAAGAAAAGUGUUUUUUUGAAAAGAAGGUAAACAGAGACAGGACACACCUUCAGUGAUUUUAACAAAACAUGCUAUCAUGCAAACCCAUAUAUUCACCGUACACACCCUUUAACCCAUAUAUUCAUCUUAAGACACAGCCAGCCAAUGUGGGAUUUGAAGACCAAGCCAAGAAAGUGGGAAGGUAAUAACUAUCCUUUCAAUGCAAUGCUGCACCAACGAAUAUUUACAAAGUGUUUCCAUGGAAGUACAGAACACCUAAUGUCCCUUGACUUACUAGGUUGAGAGGCUACAACUUCAUGGCCAAACACCUGGUGAAAUUGUUGUAUUUCCCCCCUUUCCCUUAUUUGUCCCUGGUCUAACAAUAAAAACCUCUCCCCAGUACGUACUAACAUUUAAUAUAAUUUGAUAGUAUGCUCAGUUGAGCGAAUUUCAGCUUCCAAUGGUUCCAAACAUCAAAUCCGACAUUGAUUACUUUCAAAUUUAACUUGAAAGUCUUAUCCUUUAUUCACAACUACAUAAAACAAAUCAAAUUUUUAUCAUUAUAAACAGAAACACUAUCCAACAGCCAUAAGGUUUAUCAUGAAAGAUGACUCCUAUAAUCAGAUCUAAACAUGAUCAAUAAAAGCCUAAUGCAAAUCAUUCCAAUGGAGACAUUUCAAAAGAAAAAUCAUUAAAAAAAAAUUCUUCUAUUCACCCAAGAAAAUCGAAUAUCAAAUUCAAAUAGAAAAUCUAGGGUUUGAAAAUCGAAGGAAAAUAAAGAAAACAUUACAUCCUUAACGAAAAGUAAGUUGGCGGCAACCACGGCAGCGACGAUCCCGCCCAAGAUUGCCACUGGGCCCGUCAGGAGACUCCAUUUUCUGUAUAUCAUCUUCUCCCUCUGCAGUUUUUACUCUUUCCGGUCCUCCUCCGAAUGCCGAAAGAACAAACCACUGCAAUCUGCAAUCACAACUUUCUUCCUUCUAUGGAU
rnacentral:misc_RNA from 1 species